CUAAAGAUAUUUGGUUUGACGAAUGUAAUCCCAAGAUCUUUCAGGAUACUAUCUCUGUAUCUGUCCAUUAGGUGGAGUCCACUUGAGUGCACUUACACAAAUUAUAAAUGUUGGAUGAAUAUAAAUCAAUAUGCACUUAGGGUAAUUUUGUUAUCAUUAAAAAAAAUCAAAAAUAACAAAAAGCCAAAAAAAGAAAAAAAAAAGAAGAAAGAGAG
rnacentral:lncRNA from 1 species